UAUCAUUUAUCAUGUAGAGUGCAACAGGAUGCUUAAAUAUAAUAUUGUCUGGAAUUAUAUACAAUUCAUGCUUUGCAUUUAAAUGGGAGAGGUAAAGAAGUUAUGGUGCAAAAAUAUCGCAAAUGUGAAAAACACUUCAGUUGGAAUUAAAUGGAAAGAAGAAAAAUUUACUGGAUCCAUUCAGACAACUGUGAAACAUCACAGGUGAAGAAUAUCUCAUGUUUGGAAGGCAUAUACAAUACACAAUAAAUAAUGAGCGUGGAAGAGAUGAUUUCAAGCUUGAUAAUCGAACAGAGCUUCAGCCAAAACGACUCUGUAAAAUACCAAUAAAAAGUUCAGAUUUUUUAUGGACAGAUCUAGACAAAUUAUAAAUAGCCAAAAAUGUGAAAGGAGAGUAAAGCUGAAUUUAAGAAAUCAUAAAUUUGCAAUUCUACAUGAUAUCAUAUGGAAUUAUCAGUCCUCUUAAAUACUAGUUUACAAAGUAUAGAUGCCUGGUGUUUUACAGAACAUUGGUUGGCAGAAGCCCAACUAGACUUGUUUGAGAUUAAUAAUUUUUUACUGGUUAGUAAAUUUUGUAGGAAGGGUUGUAAAAACAGAGGAUCCUGUAUAUUUAUUAACAAAUAGUUAAAUACUAGGAAAAUCACGUUUCUUAAUAACCUAGGCUGUGAACAGCACUUUGAGAUAUCUGCAGUACAAACUGUAGCAUUGAAAUGGUUAUUAAUCUGUAUUUACAGAUCCCCUCACAGUGAUGUUCAUAUUUUUUGGACAAACCAGGAGCACUUGUUGACAGAAUACAUAAAAAAAACUAAUUUGUGGAGAUUGGAAUAUAAACCUCCAGGAUCAUGAGUAGCAGAAGAGCUGUACUGUGGUCUUCUGGAUUACAAUGGUGGGUUGUCUUUGCUCUAACCUACCAGACUACACACUGUCAGGUGAGAAGACAACAAAAUAAUAAAUAUAUUAUAUUAUUCUUAUUGAAGAUUAAUAAAAUUUUAAUCAUCUUGCAUUAGACAUGCACCAAACAUUCCAACAAAUGAGGAGUACCUAAAAUUUACGUGACAACAAUGUGCUCUUUAUAAUCUGGUGUCAGGAUACUGCAACAUUUUGCAUGAAGCUUUCACUUUUUACAUGAAAUGACGGGUAACCAUAUUGUGAUAU